GCAUUUUGCUGAAGCAUGUGAGGAAAUUGAACAUUGGCAUUCCAUCGGAUUCUUUCCCGUAACCGCAACCGCACAUCAUCGAUCAUCAUCGAUCACCACCGGCUGGAUCAUCGCGCACAUAUCAUAUGCAAAACAUCGUGGGAUUUCGAUUAAGAAUUUUUAGAUCACCCCGAUUCGUGUGAUGUGAAAUCAUCAUCUCAACAACACAAAUUAGCAGAAGCAACAGCAGCAUCCACAGCAGGGCGGUCGGCACCUCUUCACGGUCACCAUCCGGGGCAUCAUCAUUUCACGCACCAAAUGCAUCAUCCGAGGACCAGAAUACACUGCAGAUCUACGCCGCCUUCCGCCGCUUCUGCUCCGUUGCACUGUUGAAUGCUCUUCUAUUGUUUUCUUCAAUCUUCAUCUCCGGCUCACUAUCGAUCUGGUAGUAUCGAUCAUCCUCGAUCGAACCAACGCGAGCUCGGUCCUUCUUCGAGAUCGG